UCCUAAACACUCUACCCCUUUCUCUCCCCUAAACACUCUACCCCUUUCUCUCCCCUAAACACUCUGCCACAAUUCGGUGGCGUGAGGUUAUUUUCGACAAUGUUGAAGCUGGAAGGUGAUUGUUUCGUCGAGGAAGGCGGCGUGUUGUCGCUAAAUGAGAAUCGGAGGUUUCAGUAAUGGAUGAGGGAGAAUCAGAGUUGUAGAAGAGGUGGAGGAAGAUAUCGGCGGUGGCGAGAGAACAAAGCAACCUCCAGAUCGGUGGCAGAUUGAUGGCGGAUUGAUGGAGGAUUGGUGGAAACAAGGAUUUCUUUAACAGGAGGUUGUGAUGGAAUCGCUGCAAACAAGGAUUAUGUUGUUGUCGACUUGUUGCUGGUUUUUUAAUUUUGUUGUAGUUUUAGAUAAGAAUUGUAAUGUUUUACUUAUGAAUAAUCCGGGUUUAGUUAAAAAUAAAAUAUUUUACUUAUACGGAGUAUUGGUUUGCAUUUAAGUAAUUUUUAGUUAGUUAUAUUUUUCUUGUGUUUAGUUAAGAAUAAUUAUGUUUUAGUUUUAGUUAUAAUUGUGAAAUAAUGGUUCUUAGU